GGCCCAUUAAUUGCUGAUCUACCGCUACCCAGGGCUAUCAACGUCGACAGCCCACAAAACUUCACGACAAAGGCGCCGU
ncrna:Pseudomonas putida S16 narK RNA